rnacentral:lncRNA from 1 species
UCAAACAAAUAAACUUGGACUUGGUUAUGAACGGACAUAUAUUGAUCAAGUUACGAAGAAGGAUGAUGGAAACUCGUCAACUGCUGUACCUAAACUUUAUGGUAAGUUUGUUUCUCCUAAAAACAAUUUCACUAACAAAGCCUGUCAUAUAUGUGGUGUUUUAGGACACAUAAAGAAAUUCUGCUACCAAAAGGGAAAGAGCUCAAUAGCACAUUUGAAGAGUGAUCCUAAAACGACAACGAAGUCAACUGUGAUUCCAAGGAAGAUAGAACAUGAGAAGAGACAAACUUGGACACCAAAUACUCCGAAGCCAAAGGCAAAACAAGCGUGGAAACCAAAGAAGGAGGAUAUGAAGAAGAAGUCAAUUCAAAUCGUCGACAAGCCACGAUCAACAAAAGCAAGUGAACUGAUACAGCCCAAAACACGUAAGGUUUGGGUGCGCAAAGGUGAACUCUUC